UACGUAGGGGGCAAGCGUUGUCCGGAAUCAUUGGGCGUAAAGCGCGUGUAGGCGGCCCGGUAAGUCCGCUGUGAAAGUCGGGGGCUCAACCCUCGGAUGCCGGUGGAUACUGUCGGGCUAGAGUGCGGAAGAGGCGAGUGGAAUUCCUGGUGUAGCGGUGAAAUGCGCAGAUAUCAGGAGGAACACCAAUCGCGAAGGCAGCUCGCUGGGACGUGACUGACGCUGAGACGCGAAAGCGUGGGGAGCAAACAGG
rnacentral:rRNA from 1 species